AUUAACGUUGGCGGCGUGCCUAAUACAUGCAAGUCGAGAGGGGUUAAGCCCUCGGCAAACGGGUGAGUAACACGUGGGAAUUUGCCCCGAACUAGGAGAUAACUCACCGAAAGGUGGAAUAAUAUCCUAUAGUCUCGCAAGAGUAAAGAUUUAUCGGUUCGGGAGAAUCCUGCGUCCUAUCAGCUUGUUGGUGGGGUAAUGGCCUACCAAGGCACUGACGGGUAGCUGGUCUGAGAGGAUGAUCAGCCACACUGGAACUGAGACACGGUCCAGACUCCUACGGGAGGCAGCAGUCGGGAAUUUUGCACAAUGGACGCAAGUCUGAUGCAGCGACGCCGCGUGAGGGAAGAAGGCUUUCGGGUCGUAAACCUCUUUUGUAUGGGAGGCCCCCUUUGGGGGAUACAGUACCAUGCGAAUAAGUCACGGCUAACUACGU
rnacentral:rRNA from 1 species